rnacentral:rRNA from 1 species
GUGGGGAAUAUUGGACAAUGGGGGGAACCCUGAUCCAGCCAUGCCGCGUGUGUGAAGAAGGUCUUCGGAUUGUAAAGCACUUUAAGUUGGGAGGAAGGGCAGUAAGUUAAUACCUUGCUGUUUUGACGUUACCGACAGAAUAAGCACCGGCUAACUUCGUGCCAGCAGCCGCGGUAAUACGAAGGGUGCAAGCGUUAAUCGGAAUUACUGGGCGUAAAGCGCGCGUAGGUGGUUUUGUAAGUUGGAGGUGAAAUCCCCGGGCUCAACCUGGGAACUGCCUCCAAAACUGCAUGACUAGAGUACGGUAGAGGGUAGUGGAAUUUCCUGUGUAGCGGUGAAAUGCGUAGAUAUAGGAAGGAACACCAGUGGCGAAGGCGACUACCUGGACUGAUACUGACACUGAGGUGCGAAAGCGUGGGGAGCAAACAGGAUUAGAUACCCGAGUAGUCC